UACGAAGGGGGCUAGCGUUGCUCGGAAUUACUGGGCGUAAAAGGCGCGUAGGCGGCACUGUUAGUCAGGCGUGAAAGUCCUGGGCUCAACCUGGGAACUGCGCUUGAUACGGCAGAGCUAGAGGAUGGAAGAGGCUCGCGGAAUUCCCAGUGUAGAGGUGAAAUUCGUAGAUAUUGGGAAGAACACCAACGGCGAAAGCACUCUGCUGGGCCGACACUGACACUGAGAGACGAAAGCUAGGGGAGCAAAUGGG
rnacentral:rRNA from 1 species